GACGUAGGGCGCAAGCGUUGUCCGGAAUUAUUGGGCGUAAAGAGCUCGUAGGCGGCUUGUCGCGUCGACUGUGAAAACCCGUGGCUCAACCAUGUGGUCUGCAGUCGAUACGGGCAGGCUAGAAUUCGGUAGGGGAGACUGGAAUUCCUGGUGUAGCGGUGAAAUGCGCAGAUAUCAGGAGGAACACCGGUGGCGAAGGCAGCUCUCUGGGACGGUACUGACGCUGAGACGCGAAAGCGUGGGGAGCGAACAGG
rnacentral:rRNA from 1 species